rnacentral:rRNA from 1 species
GACGAACGCUGGCGGCGUGCCUAAUACAUGCAAGUAGAACGCUGAAGGAGGAGCUUGCUUCUCUGGAUGAGUUGCGAACGGGUGAGUAACGCGUAGGUAACCUGCCUGGUAGCGGGGGAUAACUAUUGGAAACGAUAGCUAAUACCGCAUAAGAGUAGAUGUCGCAUGACAUUUGCUUAAAAGGUGCAAUUGCAUCACUACCAGAUGGACCUGCGUUGUAUUAGCUAGUUGGUGAGGUAACGGCUCACCAAGGCAACGAUACAUAGCCGACCUGCGAGGGGGGUCGGCCACACUGGGACUGAGACACGGCCCAGACUCCUACGGGAGGCAGCAGUAGGGAAUCUUCGGCAAUGGACGGAAGUCUGACCGAGCAACGCCGCGUGAGUGAAGAAGGUUUUCGGAUCGUAAAGCUCUGUUGUAAGAGAAGAACGAGUGUGAGAGUGGAAAGUUCACACUGUGACGGUAUCUUACCAGAAAGAGACGGCUAACUACGUG